GUUAUCACGGGAGACACACGGCGGGUGCUAACGUCCGUCGUGAAGAGGGAAACAACCCAGACCGCCAGCUAAGGUCCCAAAGUCAUGGUUAAGUGGGAAACGAUGUGGGAAGGCCCAGACAGCCAGGAUGUUGGCUUAGAAGCAGCCAUCAUUUAAAGAAAGCGUAAUAGCUCACUGGUCGAGUCGGCCUGCGCGGAAGAUGUAACGGGGCUAAACCAUGCACCGAAGCUGCGGCAGCGAACGUAUCACCCAAGACAACUUUACGGAGUUGACGAUUGACGGAGCGAAGCGACGUCAAAGCGUUCAUUAAAGUCGAGUUGGCUUAGGGAUACGUUCGUUGGGUAGGGGAGCGUUCUGUAAGCCUGUGAAGGUGGCCUGUGAGGGUUGCUGGAGGUAUCAGAAGUGCGAAUGCUGACAUAAGUAACGAUAAAGCGGGUGAAAAGCCCGCUCGCCGGAAGACCAAGGGUUCCUGUCCAACGUUAAUCGGGGCAGGGUGAGUCGACCCCUAAGGCGAGGCCGAAAGGCGUAGUCGAUGGGAAACGGGUUAAUAUUCCCGUACUUGGUGUUACUGCGAA
rnacentral:rRNA from 2 species